AAUCAAUGGCUCAAUAAGAAUGAUUUAAUUGCUUUUUCAUUUGGUUGGCCCGUCGAGUGUCUGGCGAGCUGUUAAAAUUCAAAUUAAAAGUCCGAACGUGACCGAAAAUGUGAAAUUAUGCCGAUGCGAAAGGCGGCUCGACUCGACUUUAAUAGGCAAUUUGCAGUCGUAAUCCAAAUGCAGGCAGUUGGCAAAGUCACGCACAGUCUAAGGAUAACAAUAAUGGCCGAGGAUUCGGACGCAGGACAACGAAAUUAUUUUACACAUUCAAGGCGGCGAUAAAGCGCGAUCUCCCUCACUCCGCAGGCAAAUGCAACUGGGCUAAAAUAUUAGUGGCUUAAAUGCCAGGGCUUAAUGGCCAAUAAAUCGAUUUGCUUUCGGCAGCCAAAGAGACGCACUGCAGCAAUGGCUUGGCCACCAACUUUGGAUGGGCUGAGCUGAAACGGGGGGUCCUGUGCUUAUCGGCACGCAUGCACGCAGCUGGCGGCAAUUUGGAUACAAAGAUAAAACAUUUAUUGGCCACAUAAAACGGGUGAAAUUACCAAGGACCCGCCAGCUCCACCAGCUCCACAAUGGCCACAUCCACGUCCUGUUUUCCCAUCCGGCAUAUUGAGUUCGAUUCGGAUGCGGAUAAUUUCACUCUGCUGUCGCACGAGCAGCAAAUCAAUUUCAGUCCUUGCCUUACGGAACUGCCACGUUUUGGGUCCACAAAUUAGACAAAUGAUUUGCCCCACUUGUCAUAAAACUGCCAAAGGGAUUGCCUUUGUCCUGGCUCCAAAUGGACCCAACUCUUUGUCUGCCUUGGAGUUCGAUUUUGAAAGCCCUAUGCUAAGUAAAAACCAUGGCUUUCCAUUUAUUAACUGAAACCUUGUUAAAAUAAGUGACAUUUGGUCAAUAUGGAGCUUGUUUUGAGCAUAUUUUGAGGCCAUAAAUUUAAUAUAUUCAAAAAAAUGUAGUACAUAAUUCACAUAUGAAAAUAUUUCCAGUUCAAUGCUUUUGUGUGACAUCAGGAAUCUGUGCGAAAUCUUAACCUUUGUCAUCGUAGGUGCCCUUUGUCAUGUUUUCCAUCCAUUUGUUGGGUUCUUUCAAAUUUAUCAUUACGCGGAAACUUCAAAAAGCACGUGGCGGAUACUUUUCUUUCCAAGCGGUGCAGAAAUGAGAGCGAAAAAAGUUUAAUUAAAUAAAUUACAAAAUGCUUUGCCAGCGACAACAAUUCAUUAAAAAAGAACGAAAGACAAAGGCAGCCCAGUUGGCUUGGGUUUUUGUUCGGCUCGAAAAAAAAAAACCAACAAAAAGUUGAGGCAUUCUGCCAGACGAGCGUCGAGAUGCGUUUUGCACGGCUUCAGGACGAAAGGACGACAGGACUACAGGAUGACAGGACUUGGCUGGCUGGCAAAUUAAAAGCCGACUGCCCAUAAAUCUCAGCCAGCAGAUUGCCUUGGCAGCAGAGAACUAGCAUGGACACGAAACGAUGUCGACUUAUUUGCAUGUUUGUCACUGGCUUUUUACCAUUUUUCCCCCCUUUUUUUAUGUUUUUUUUUAUUUCAGUUGUUGGGUGCUUUUAGUUUCCGGCGCGUUGCACUUGGAGCUCGGUGGCUGCCGCACAAAGUUGCCGCACAGACAAACAAUGCCGAAUCGCGGGGGCGGACUGCUUUCAAAUUGCGUUGAAAGCUCCCGAAUGCCCCAUUUUGCUGCUGUUGUUGUAGCUGCUGGCGUGGGGAAAAGGCCAGCAAAAAAUAGCGAAUAAAAAAAUGAAGUCGACCAAAAAAAAAGGGAGGCAGCACAAAAAAAAAAUAAAGAACUAGAUGUGACACGAACAACGGCAAGCGACAACGUUCCGGAACAGAAACGGAAAUUGUGAAAUAUACAAAUGUUCGUCUUGUUUAGUGUAAGCCCAAGUGGGACCGCCUCCAGAGUUUCGCGGACAAGGGACAAGGAACGCUUUGUAAUAAAAAUAUAUGGAUCUCGGACAACGGCAACAUGUCACAUUGUUAAAAAAAAAGACACAAAAAUCGGAAACGGAGGGCGGCUGGGCGGCAGAAGUGAACAGAAUGGAGAAAUCCCGACAAUUUGUUGCCAGGCGUUAAACGCUGGAAUAUCCGGUGAAACACGCUUAUUAAAACGGUAGCAUUUAGGCCGGUUCACACCCCACUUUGUCCGCAGGGAUAACAAAUUGGAAGGACAACAAAUAAGGCAGCAGGAGCAAACUGAUCGUGUAAUGAAUGUAAAAGGAGACUUCGGGCACAAAAAAAGGUCAACCAUUGUUCUCAAUUGCACACAGCUUUUGUCAAUUUAUUCUAAAGCGGGGAAAAAAUCUGUGUUUACAUUUUAAUGCUUUAAAAAAAUGCACUCAAGUGUUUUGUGGAUAUUAAAAAAUUUGUUGGCACGCAGUAAAAAGGGUAAAAUUACUAUUAGAUAUUUUUAUGAAACUCGUGAAAGAAAGAUUUUUUUACAAAAUAUCACUUUUUGUUUAAUAAUUAAAUCAUUAUAUCAAUGCCAAAAAAAUGUGACAAAAUAAUUACAAAAUUACAAUUGUUUCUUAUUUUAUAUCAAUGCAUUCAGUUUAUAAUUAACAAAUAAAUAUAAGGCAUUGCCUUAAAUUAGUAUUCAUUAGUUGAUAGAUCAUUAUCUAUUUCUGACUUCCUGUGACAAUAAACUGCAUCAAUCUUCGUUAAUUAGGCUUUUUAGUGUUCCAAUUUAAUAUGUGGCUCACAUUCCGAAGAUAACAU